rfam:Mycobacterium holsaticum strain M7 PROKKA_contig000035, whole genome shotgun sequence.
CGCCCUUGUGCGGGAGAGUUCCGUGACAACCAGCCACGGACGCCGAAGGAGCAAUACCUCUCCGUCAACCUCUCAGGCACCCAGGACCGCACGAGAUCC